GUAAUGCUUAGGAAUCUGCCUAUUAGUGGGGGACAACAUCUCGAGAGGGAUGCUAAUACCGCAUACGUCCUACGGGAGAAAGCAGGGGACCUUCGGGCCUUGCGCUAAUAGAUGAGCCUAAGUCGGAUUAGCUAGUUGGUGGGGUAAAGGCCUACCAAGGCGACGAUCUGUAGCGGGUCUGAGAGGAUGAUCCGCCACACUGGGACUGAGACACGGCCCAGACUCCUACGGGAGGCAGCAGUGGGGAAUAUUGGACAAUGGGGGGAACCCUGAUCCAGCCAUGCCGCGUGUGUGAAGAAGGCCUUUUGGUUGUAAAGCACUUUAAGCGAGGAGGAGGCUACCGAGAUUAAUACUCUUGGAUAGUGGACGUUACUCGCAGAAUGAGCACCGGCUAACUCUGUGCCAGCAGCCGCGGUAAUACAGAGGGUGCAAGCGUUAAUCGGAUUUACUGGGCGUAAAGCGCGCGUAGGUGGCCAAUUAAGUCAAAUAUGAAAUCCCCGAGCUUAACUUGGGAAUUGCAUUCGAUACUGGUUGGCUAGAGUAUGGGAGAGGAUGGUAGAAUUCCAGGUGUAGCGGUGAAAUGCGUAGAGAUCUGGAGGAAUACCGAUGGCGAAGGCAGCCAUCUGGCCUAAUACUGACACUGAGGUG
rnacentral:rRNA from 1 species